GACGAACGCUGGCGGCGUGCUUAACACAUGCAAGUCGAACGGAAAGGCCCUGCUUUUGUGGGGUGCUCGAGUGGCGAACGGGUGAGUAACACGUGAGUAACCUGCCCUUGACUUUGGGAUAACUUCAGGAAACUGGGGCUAAUACCGGAUAGGAGCUCCUGCUGCAUGGUGGGGGUUGGAAAGUUUCGGCGGUUGGGGAUGGACUCGCGGCUUAUCAGCUUGUUGGUGGGGUAGUGGCUUACCAAGGCUUUGACGGGUAGCCGGCCUGAGAGGGUGACCGGCCACAUUGGUACUGAGAGACGGCCCAGACUCCUACGGGAGGCAGCAGUGGGGAAUAUGGCACAAUGGUCGGAAGACUGAUGCAGCAACGCCGCGUGCGGGAUGACGGCCUUCGGGUUGUAGACCGCUUUCGCCUGUGACGAAGCGUGAGUGACGGUACUGGGUAAAGAAGCACCGGCUAACUACGUG
rnacentral:rRNA from 1 species